GUGGCUAUGUUCAAUUGCUUUGAU
rnacentral:miRNA from 1 species